rnacentral:rRNA from 1 species
AGUGAACGCUGGCGGUAGGCCUAACACAUGCAAGUCGAACGGCAGCACAGUAAGAGCUUGCUCUUACUGGUGGCGAGUGGCGGACGGGUGAGGAAUACAUCGGAAUCUACUUUUUCGUGGGGGAUAACGUAGGGAAACUUACGCUAAUACCGCAUACUACCUACGGGUGAAAGCAGGGGAUCUUCGGACCUUGCGCGAUUGAAUGAGCCGAUGUCGGAUUAGCUAGUUGGCGGGGUAAAGGCCCACCAAGGCGACGAUCCGUAGCUGGUCUGAGAGGAUGAUCAGCCACACUGGAACUGAGACACGGUCCAGACUCCUACGGGAGGCAGCAGUGGGGAAUAUUGGACAAUGGGCGCAAGCCUGAUCCAGCCAUACCGCGUGGGUGAAGAAGGCCUUCGGGUUGUAAAGCCCUUUUGUUGGGAAAGAAAAGCAGCAGGUUAAUACCCCGCUGUUCUGACGGUACCCAAAGAAUAAGCACCGGCUAACUUCGUG